AUUGUCUGUCUCUGUCUCCCUCUAGUCCUCUUCCAAUAUGGAGGCUAACAGCAGUGGUCCCGCAAUCAGAAAGCUCUUCCUGACCACAGGAAGUUCUGAGGUGAGGUCACCAGCACCCACCCAUAUAUAUUGCAUUUGGAUUGGUAAGGGUCCUGUGGGGAUACACAAAUGAUAUCUGACUGUUUAGGUAAUCACUACACCAGUAUAGUUACACUGGCUAACUCCCAGUUACGAGUACUUGACGGAUUAGAAGUUCACAGAGGGAAUGUGUUGAAAAUUAUGUUUUCAAAGAAACUGAAGUCCACCAAAUGGUUAGAUCGAGGGUCAACUACAACAUGCUUAUUUCGUUUUAGAAAUAUAUCGGCUUAGAAAUUACUUUGUUCAUCGUAGGCAUUAGGUAAUCAUUUUAUUUCUGCCUCAUCGUUGCUCAAGAGUCCCAGGGUGACGACAGAAACGAUGUUGACUUUUCUUACUUUCACGAAGCCUGGCUGUGUUUUGUUCCGUUGCUAUAGAAGAAAAGCUGAUGAUUGAUGUCAUUGUGUGCAUGUUUGUUUGUUACUGUGUGUGUGUGUGUGUGUGUGUGUGUGUGUGUGUGUGUGUGUGUGUGUGUGUGUGUGUGUGUGUGUGUGUGUGUGUGUGUGUGUCGGUGUGUGUGUGUGUGUCGGUGUGUGUGUCGGUGUGUCGGUCUGUGAGAGAGUCGAGGGUUGCUGAAGUUACGACACAAACACAACCACUUUGUUGUUCGCUGAUAUUUGCAAUGUGGAUAAAACCAUUUGCCUCCAUUCACUUGCACUGUCUGUCUAUCUCCUCUCUGUCGGUCUGUCUCUCUGUUGGUCUGUCUGUCUGAUUGUAUUGCAGCCUUUGCUAGGAAAGUGUAUGUUCUUUCUGAGGACGACAGACAAGGCGAUCACCACUGCUAAUGUACAACAGGUCAGUAGAGAACCAGCAUAAGCUUUCAGACAGUCAGACAGCCAGCAAGCCAGUCAGUCAGCCAGUCACACUGCCAGUAAGUCUGUGAGUCAGUCAGCCAGUCCUUCAACUUAAUUUCCUGUACAUGUACAUCCUAUUUGUGUGUUAGUCCUUUACUUGUUUCCCUUGUUCGAGGCUAAGGGAGUACUUCCUGUGUGUACAGGAAGUGAACUUUGGCCAGCUGGACUGCUGUGACGACAGCUUGCUGCAGAGUGUGGAGAGGCUUCUGUCCCAGGUCAUGCUACCUGCUCUACGCUCCCAGCAGGUUGGGGAGAGCACACAGUCUCAACACUCAAUGCACAUUAACAGGGGUGGACUUCAAAUAGCAUAUACUGAUAUAGCAAUAUAGCAAUGCUUUUAUUCUACUCCUCUUUUAAUUCUGUACCUACUGUGUACAAUUCUGUAUUCAUCCUCCAACGUCCCAGAACCCAAACCCAUACCCCCUACACACACACCCAUGCCUACACACCUGUACCCCCACACACACUCAAACACCUACUGCUGUCUCACCCUUCACCUUUUCUCGAUUACGCCAUAUUUCAAAUCCCAGUCUUGCUUCCUGCUCUCUUACGCUUCUGUAGUUUCUAAUUCUGUCCAGUUUGCUCUCUUUCUGUCUCUGCC
ensembl:lncRNA